rnacentral:rRNA from 1 species
GACAGAGGUGGCAAGCGUUGCUCGGAUUUACUGGGCGUAAAGGGGGCGUAGGCGGCCGUGAAAGUCCGGUGUGAAAACUCACGGCUCAACCGUGGGACUGCGCUGGAAACUACACGGCUUGAGGACGGUAGAGGGAGACGGAACUGCUGGUGUAGGGGUGAAAUCCGUAGAUAUCAGCAGGAACGCCGGUGGAGAAGUCGGUCUCCUGGGCCGUUCCUGACGCUGAGGCCCGAAAGCUAGGGGAGCAAACCGG